GACGUAGGGUGCGAGCGUUGUCCGGAUUUAUUGGGCGUAAAGAGCUCGUAGGCGGCUCGUCGCGUCGACCGUGAAAACCCGCGGCUUAACUGCGGGCUUGCGGUUGAUACGGGCGGGCUAGAGUUCGGUAGGGGAGACUGGAAUUCCUGGUGUAGCGGUGAAAUGCGCAGAUAUCUGGAGGAACACCGGUGGCGAAGGCGACGUCCUGGACCGGCAUUGACGCUGAGGCGCGAAAGCCAGGGGAGCAAACGGG
rnacentral:rRNA from 1 species